CUUUCUGUGUGUUGUGUUCUCUGCACAGGCCUCGGUGCUCUGCGCGUAACAGCAACGCCGCUCCGCGGCCCCGAUCAGGAAGUGAAUUUGAAGAAAAUAAGCGACUGUGGAGGUAGAAUGACAUAGGGAGCGGGAGGUGGAAGAGAAGCAAGCGGAGAAAGAAGCGACUAACAGAGGGAAGAAUCGACCCGCUUUCUGGACCUGUAUUGGGCUGUUAUCCCGGGAUAUACUGCACACACAAAAAUGCUUAUAAAGGAAUAUCGAGUGAUUCUUCCUAUUUCCGUGGAAGAGUACCAGGUUGGCCAGCUGUACUCUGUGGCUGAGGCCAGUAAGAAUGAGACGGGUGGAGGAGAAGGAGUGGAGGUGCUAAAAAAUGAACCCUAUGAAAAAGAUGGAGAGAAGGGACAGUACACACACAAAAUAUACCAUUUGCAGAGUAAAGUGCCAUCAUUCGUCAGAAUGUUGGCUCCAGCUUCAGCUCUCAAUAUCCACGAGAAAGCCUGGAACGCGUACCCAUACUGUCGCACAGUCAUCACUAAUGAGUAUAUGAAAGAUAACUUCUUGAUCAAGAUUGAGACAUGGCACAAACCUGACACGGGACACCUUGAAAAUGUACACGGUUUGGAUGCAGAAACCUGGAAGAAAGUGGAUGUAGUCUAUAUUGAUAUUGCAGACAGAAGCCAAGUGGAACCAAAGGACUACAAGCCUGAAGAAGAUCCUUGCAAGUUCAAGUCAGUGAAGACAGGACGAGGACCUCUAGGACCAGACUGGAAGAAGGAACUUCCUAACAAGAAAGACUGCCCACACAUGUGUGCCUACAAGCUGGUCACUGUCAAAUUCAAGUGGUGGGGCCUGCAAAAUAAAGUGGAGAAUUUCAUUCAAAAGCAAGAGAAGCGUUUGUUCACUAAUUUUCACCGCCAGCUGUUCUGCUGGAUUGACAAAUGGAUUGAACUGAACAUGGAAGACAUCCGUCGCAUGGAGGAGCAGACACGUAGGGAGCUGGAUGAGAUGAGAGUGAAGGACCCUGUGAAAGGAAUGGUUGCUCUAGAGGACUGAGGCUGUAUUGGACCGUGAAUGCUGCUGCUCAUCAGUCUAGCUGCUCAUUGUAACUUCCCAAAUCCAAGAUCAGAAUAUCCAGACACCAGCGGAUUCACAUCCUCCUUUUGUCUCAACUGACGCAACAUCCGACCGGCCGGUCCAAAACCCACCUCUUGCAGUCCAAUUUGGUUUCAGGGACCUGGACCCAGUAAACUUCCAGUUUUCAGCUGAUGUUCUCCGUCCUUCCCCCCUUUCACACUCAUUUGUACUUUUGGUUUGUUUUUUUAAUCUAGUGUCCCCAUGUUAAUUGCUCUGAGGCCUCCAGUAGCAAAAUUAUAGAUCUUGUCAGUCAGUCCUCUCUUUCUGUCUAAAUUGUUCUAAACUACAGAGAAUAGUGUCAUUUAUCUCUGCAAUUUAGGAUUUAUUUCUAUUUAAGAUAUCCCAGUAGUGUAUAUAUAAAGUAUAUCGGAGAGUUGAAUAAGUGUACUGAAGUACAUAUAUAUGUGUAUAUACAUAUAGAUAUAUAUAUAUAUAUAUUAAAAAAAACAAGAUUUUUAAAAUGAUUCAGUACAUUUUGUCAGUGGAUGUUUAUUUUUUUCCAGAUCAAGCCAAGCUGUAUCUGCUCAGUGCUGUGUUGCUUGUUUGAUCCUUUAAUUUCUUCUUUUUUGUCAUUGUAUCUCCUUUUCUCCAUUUGUGUCAUGCAGUGUUUCCCUUUCUUAUUGAAAUCGAUUUGCAAAUCUACAAAUCCCAGCUGCAAGGUCGGGAUUGUGCUAAGAGUUUUGUGUUAUCUCUACUAUAAAUCUGACCUAACAGAUACGAUUUUUGCCCCCCUAAAUAUGUUGACAAGUUCAUUAGCUUUUCUGCUGCUUUGUGAAUGUGUGUUUGCAUAUAUAUGUGUGUGUGUGUGUGGUUGUGGCAGGGCUUAGUGGUGUGUGUCUUUGUAACAUUACUAGGUCACCAAGGUUUUCAGCUGUAUUUUUCAUGCCUCUUUCAGCAGAUCCUCCCCAGUUUCAUUUGGCUGUUCGGGGUGCUCAAAAUUGCCGUAAUUGAAGGUUAUGUCUGAAUACAAGUAUACAGUAAUGCAUAUAAAUAAAAACACAGAGAGAGCAAUAGCUGAGAGGGGUACUGGUAAAAUGUGUCACCCUGCAAAAUAAAAAUAUAGAGCAGACAACUGGAACAGUCAUAAACAAGUGUAGGCCUGUCUCUUUUUUUAUUCCUCUGUUGGUGACCUGUGCUGUCAUUCUGCAUCAGGUCUUGCCUUGUCAUCCGUUGUGUCAUCUUCAGUGGAUAAAUGGUGUUAUCCAGCAAUAGCAAUAACUAUCAUGACACGCUGGUCUCUCCUUGGUCAUUGCAGUUUUAGUAAACUGGAGCGCAAGCCUCAACUCAAGAGGGCUCAAGUUGCAUCAUUAAAUUCCAUUUUUAUUGUCUUUGCAUGGGUUGAUUUCUCUUGUGGGAUCUGAAAGUUGUUUUUAAAUUUGUGUUUUGUUUUGGAGGGGAUUUUUCUGGGUGUAUGCAUGAGUGUGAAUGUGUCAUGCAGGGUAGCGAGUGUCUUUGUAGAAAGUUGAUCCUAGUUAGAAACAAGGAACAAAUUAAGCUGCAGCGGGCACUAUUUUGUUUUUCUUCUUGCUGGUGUGUGUUUGGCCUCCUUUGCCUUCCUUCCGUCCCGUCAUCUACUUCACAUCCUGCACAUGUUUUAACAGUAUGGAAAGCUUAAAGAGAAAGCAACAGAUAACGAGACAAGAAAAUGAUUAUGGACAUUUUGCACUAACAAGCUAAUAUUAGUUCAUGUAAAAUAAUUUAGAAACUUUAAAAUAACAGAUAAAUAAAGCCUAUUUUUUGUAGUUUAUGCACAAUCAUUACUAAAGUACAAUAAUACUUACUGAAUUUUGCAGUAUAAAUAUCAAUUUAUAGGGUUUUUCAUUUGCAAUUACAAAAUAAAAACGUUAUCGGUCAAGUACUGUCAUCAGUCAAAAUGACGUCUGUCCCAAGCAUUGCAAGAAUUAUUUCUUCCAUUGACUCUUUAAUUAGGAUACGUCAUUUGCAGAAAUUUUUAAAAAUGCAAAGGUUUUCUGGCAGAUUUCCAGAAGUUACUCUCAUGUUAAGCUACAUUAAUCUAAAGGACUAUUACGCUGAAUCUGGUUAGAUUCAGGUUUUCAGUUUACAGGGAAACGUGGAGCUGAAUUGAGUCAACCCUAACCCUAAUUAAUAAGAAAGGCAAAGCAAAUGAUUGACAGACAUUUGAGCGUCAUCUUUGAGCCUAAUCUAAUGUGCACACACAUUACUGAUGAAUUAUUAAAAAGGACUGUUCUUAGGAUCAUUAGCAACCUUGUGAACUAUAAAUUUUAAAAGAAUAAUGUUUGAUCUUUUUAUGUUUGCAUAUGUUAGAUUACUUGAAUAAGGCCAUCAUGGCAAACAUUUUUCUGUUGCCUCCUCUUUGACUCCAAAACACUGGCCCUGGAUAUUCAAUCCCUGCACCUCUCUGUCCAUCAAGCGUCUCACUCAGUGUCUGUGAUGGGGCUACCAACUGAUUCAUGGAGAUUUGUGGAUGUACUGUAUGUACUGACUUUGUAAAUAGUAAAUAAAUUAUUGUAGAUGAACACAUAUAUAUAGAUCAGACUGUCCUGCCAAAGCCUACAGCACACCCUCUUGACACUUGAUCCUCUUAAUUAAUCGCUAUCUACUCAGCAUUACACACCCCACGCUGGCCACAGAAUCAGAAAAUGUUGAGUUAUAGUUGCUGAAUUUAGUAGUGAUAAGACAUUUUGAGGAAUAUUGUCAACUGUAGUCAUAAAAAGGCAUUCUUACAUAUUGUUAUAGAUGUUUAGGCUGCUCAAGUGAAGCAGCACUUCACAUUUGGAGGAAAAAAUAAGAAAAGAGCCUAUUUACUAUUUCCUGUCCUUCAUUAUUCCCUCACAGGAACCACGUCUCAUUGGCAGGACAGUGUAUAAAUAUAUAUUUUUGUUCUGAAUGUUGUACCUCUGUUGUCAGUCUCUGAACUACACUGACUUCUCUCUGCAAAGGAACGGCAGCUUGGGUCACUUCAUUGAUCCACAUAAUUAGCUGAUGGCGUCGGCCCUUCGUGACGCCGGGGCACGAGUUAGACUUUGCCCUCCUGUGGUUAGCAGUGGGGGAAUCGAGGGGAAAUUAUUCUACAUUUCGGAGCAGCUUCAACUGGGUGCUGGAGCGUUGGAGCUUAAAGCUACACAUGAGAAAGGACAAAUAUAUGUGGUUGUUUGAGAACAGAUACUGAUGUUUUUAAGAGUCUGAACCUACAAACUUGUGAGAGAACGUGGUUUAACAGAGACAAUCUCAUAGUUAUCUGUUGUUAGAUUCCUCGAUUUAUAAUCAGAGUAUGAAACCAAAUGAUUCCAUAAUAAUCCCAAACUGUUUUUAAAUCGUUAAAUCUCUCUUUCUCUCUUUUGCUUUCUCUCUCUCUCUCUCACUCCUGUUAACUUGUCUCCUGUUUUUCUUUCUUUUAUUGUGAAUUUGUGCCUUUUUGUCAUUUUAUCUUCUAAUAACACUACUGUACAUUGCAGACAUAAAGAACUAAAUAAAAAGAAAGAAAAGCAACUGUA